ensembl:lncRNA
GCUGGCAAUGUUUUCUGACUGAUAAAGAAAGCACUCCAAUUUUCCAUGGGAUAGCUAGGACAUGUCUCUAAUUCCUGAGAGGCAAGGAUAGGAUCUGCUGCUCCAGGGGAACAAUAUUUCUCCUUAGGUGUGUAUUGUGUGUGUGCAUCAUUGAAAGCCAGAAAUGAAGAUCAUUUUUUUGCCCAGGAAUUGAAUGAAGACUCCCAUAACACAGAGGAGGACUGUUGUUUGCAAUCUGUAGCAGAAAGUGAACAUCUUUCCACUGAACUCUUUCACUCUCCUUCCAUUACCUCUCCUUCAUGAUUUUUCUUCUAUUACAUUCCUUUUUUAGCACCUCUUUUUCUAGUUUUUCUCAAACAAGCUUUCAGUGAUAUUGAAUACUUCUGUUAGUGGCACUAAGACUUCUUGAACUUUCUUAUCUUAUACACAAUUGAUGGUAAAUUCCUCCCCUGACUCCACACAAGCUCCUAGAGCCCCCUUUAAAUGGGUUUUUUUUUACCAAGUUUAGCUAGCUAUUUAAUAUAAUCUUACCUUUAAUAUGUCCACUUGAAAUAACUUCUUUUCUUAUUGAUUUGGUGACUACAGAUUUCUGUCUUAUAGAUUUUGGGGGUAGAUUUUCAAAGACUCUCUUUAAGCAAUGAAAAGAUCAACAAAAUAGUUAGGAAGUUCACUGCAGAGAGCAGAAAUAAAUGUGUUCUAGUAAAUUAUGAAGAGUUACCACCACUUAGAGAAAAAUGAGAGUUCUACAGAAUGUAAAAUAAAUGUUUUUAUAUAACAUUUUCUGCAAAAGGACAACUUCACAUGUAUACUUUUCCAGUUAAUGCUACACAGGCAUAUUUAUUCAUUCAAAUGAAUACUUUUAGGCUGGAGUUCACUUUUUAAAGUUUAUUUACUAAAUUAAUUUAUUUAGAAUAUUCUUCCAUGGGUACAUGAAUCAUGUUCUUUCUUUCCCCUUCUCCCACCCGCUCCAUAUGGACCACAGGGCCAAGUUGACGGGCACCUGCGCAGUUCUCCUGAAAAGCUCUCUAAGAGAGACCCUCCAGGGGGCAGGCCUGGCAAAGGGCCCAGUGGGCCAGCGAGCCCACGGCUACCUCUCGGGGCUUUCUGAGGCGGAAACGAGGCGGAGUCGUUCUCAGGGGAGCGUCCGAGCCAAAAGCAAGCAGGAAGGGAGCUUCCACCACAACCCCGCCCCGUCCCCAACUGCGGGAGGCUCCAGACUCGGGAGCGGGGUAGAAAAGAAUUACUGCGCUCCCAACCGGAAGAGCAGGGAUUCUCCCGGCGUCCCCUCCUGCUCAGCUCUCUCUCUUGGGCGCGUGGAUGCGGGGUUCGGGGAGCACCUGGAGCUCCCUCCAUCCGUGCGUCCGUCCGCCGCUGGGCUAAUGGGUUCCUGAAGGGGCCACCGGGAAAAGGCAGAAAAGGAAGCUGAACGUGCCUUGUUCGUCUCGUCUCCGGACUGCCUCCUUGUGGAGGGCCGAAGAGGAGAAAACAAAGGGAGGCAGAAACCGAGCAGCCGCUGUUUUCGAAGAGGAGGCGCAGCCUGUCAGACAAGCGGGGCUAGAGGAAGGCGAGGAGGAGCCUUUGAGUGCUGGCCCCCUGAGGGGCCUGGGGAGGAGAGGAGCUGGCAGUGCUGGGUGCGGGGAGAGCGAGGAGAAAAGACGACGGCUGCGAAAAAGGGCCGGGGCCGGCAGGAGGGAAAGCAGAGGCGGAGCUGUGACAAGUGCUGGGUGGCCACAGUCUCGAGGAUGCCCCAGCUUGGAGUUCCACACGUGGACAUCGCCUCCUGGGAGGCUUUCCGCUGCGGAGCGGCUGGGAGGUCGGGCGGCAGGGAGGGGGCUUUUGGAGGAAGAAGACACUGUCCGGCUGUUGGGGGCGGAGAUGGGGAGCUUUGGGGAGAAGCCGAGCUCCCGAGGAGAAGAGCGGAGCCCAGCCCAGGGAGAGCAAAGAAAGGGCGCCUGAGCGAAUGGACUGAAUGAGGGCUUUUGCCGUCCGUUAACAAAUUGGGGAAAUAUCCCUGGGCGAAGAAGCGCAGCCUUUGGUCAAUCUGGAGAGGAGGCCUGAGAGCAGGAGCCCCUUUGCAAGGGAAUUUGUAUGGGGGAGGGGAGGACUUAGGCUAUGGAAUACUCAAUCUUGGAGCAAUUGGGGAAAGGCACGACCAUUAAUUCGCUGUGGCUGCAAGCGUGAAUUGGUCCAGCCAUUGGGGAGGCAAUUGGAAACGAUGCCAAGAAAGUGACCGAAAUGCCCAGAAAUUCCGCCCUGAAGCCCCCUGACUGAGGAGAGAAACUUUCGCGAGGGACAUUCUGCUCUCUAAUUCCCAGGAAGACUUUGUCCCCGCGGAGGAGCUCAGCGAGUAAUAAGAAAGAGCCCGCCUAGUUCAAAAUGCUCAAGCAGCGCUUUGUCAGACCAGGUCAGAGCAAAACCCUGACGACAGAGCAGCACAGCGACCUCUCUUUUGAGGAAGAGCUCAGAGAACGGUCAGGAGGGACAUUAUGGAAUGGAAGGUCACAGAUAGGAAGGAAGGAAUUGGACAAUACGGAGAAGCGAGGGAAGACAUCGGGAACUGCUGCAAAGUGAAGCAAGAGGAACUGGGAAAAGAGACACAGUGGCUUUGCCAAUCGCUGUAAAUGGAAAGAACAACCCAAAGCAGAAGGCCAGGAACUGAAUGCUGUGAAAUACGGAGCAAGCCUCGCUUCAGAGAAGAGACAAAAAAAAAAAAAAAACAGUUAGGGGUAGUCCCCUUUGGCAUGAAAGUAUAGAUACAAAUAAAUGUUCAAUCAAUCACA